GACGAACGCUGGCGGCGUGCCUAAUACAUGCAAGUUGAGCGAGGAAGAUUGGUGCUUGCACCAAUUUGAAGAGCAGCGAACGGGUGAGUAACGCGUGGGGAAUCUGCCUUGGAGCGGGGGACAACAUUUGGAAACGAAUGCUAAUACCGCAUAACAACUUUAAACAUAAGUUUUAAGUUUGAAAGAUGCAAUUGCAUCACUCAAAGAUGAUCCCGCGUUGUAUUAGCUAGUUGUUGAGGUAAAGGCUCACCAAGGGGUGGAUACAUAGCCGACCAGCGAGGGUAAUAGGCAAAAUUGGGCCUGGAACACGGCCCAAAACCUUGCGGGAGGCAGCAGGAGGGAACCUUCGGCGAUGGAAGAAAGUCUGAAUGAGCAACGCCGCGGGAGUGAAGAAGGUUGUCGGGUCGUGAAAGUCUGUUGGUAGUGAAGAACGUUGGUGAGAGUGGAAAGCUCAGAAAGUGACGGUACCUACGCAGAAAGGGACGGCUAACUACGUG
rnacentral:rRNA from 1 species